GCAGCCCACGGCCUGGUACUGCGAGACCAGGGUGUGUAACAUGUCGAGCUCUCCUGCCCUUGAACUCUGGGAUAAGCGCUGGAAACGGCGAUCUACUACCGGAUACGACCUGCCCCGGCAUCGAGGUGUGGGUGGAAAGUUUUUCGGUCAAGGAUGGACUCGCGGCCUAUCAGCUUGUUGGUGAGGUAAUGGCUCACCAAGGCGACGACGGGUAGCCGGCCUGAGAGGGUGACCGGCCACACUGGGACUGAGACACGGCCCAGACUCCUACGGGAGGCAGCAGUGGGGAAUAUUGCACAAUGGGCGAAAGCCUGAUGCAGCAACCGCCGCGUGGGGGAUGACGGCCUUCGGGUUGUAAACCUCUUUUAGUAGGGAAGAAGGCUUCCGGCUUGAACGGUACCUGCCAGAAAAAGCACCCGGCUAACUACGUGCCAGCAGCCGCGGUAAUACGUAGGGUGCAAGCGUUGUUCCGGAAUUAUUGGGCGUUAAAGAGCUCGUAGGCGGUUUGUCCCCGUCUGCUGUGAAAAACCCGAAGGCUCAACCCUCGGGUCUGGCAAUGGGGUACGGGCCGAACCAAGUGGGGUAAUGGGGAAAUUGGAAUUCCCGGCGGUAACGGUGGAAAUGCCCCAAAUUUCACGGGAGAACCCCCAAUGGGCAACGGCAAGUUCUUCUGGGCCCGUUACUUGACACCUUAAGGAGCCAAAAGCC
rnacentral:rRNA from 1 species